UACGUAGGUGGCAAGCGUUGUCCGGAUUUACUGGGCGUAAAGAGCGCGCAGGCGGUCGUUCAAGUCGCGUGUGAAAGCCCCCGGCUCAACUGGGGAGGGUCACGCGAUACUGAUUGACUGGAAGGCAGGAGAGGGUAGUGGAAUUCCCGGUGUAGUGGUGAAAUGCGUAGAUAUCGGGAGGAACACCAGUGGCGAAGGCGACUACCUGGCCUGUUCUUGACGCUGAGGCGCGAAAGCUAGGGGAGCAAACGGG
rnacentral:rRNA from 1 species